AGGUCCACGAUCACGGAGAAGAGUGGAGUGGCGCACGCCCCUGAGUAACGCGUAGGUAAUCUACCCUUGUAUCUGGGAUAACAUUGCGAAAGCGGUGCUAAUACCGGAUAGUCUUUUAAUUAUGCGAGUAAUAGAGAGUAAAGGUGGCCUCUCUUAAGAAGCUACCGUAUGGGGAUGAGCCUGCGUACCAUUAGCUAGUAGGUAGGGUAACGGCCUACCUAGGCGACGAUGGUUAGCGGGUCUGAGAGGAUGAUCCGCCACACUGGAACUGGAACACGGACCAGACUCCUACGGGAGGCAGCAGUGAGGAAUAUUGCGCAAUGGGGGCAACCCUGACGCAGCGACGCCGCGUGGGUGAGGAAGGUCUUCGGAUCGUAAAGCCCUGUCAAGUGGGAAGAAGUGCAUGCGGGAUAACACCCUGUGUGUUUGACGGUACCACUAGAGGAAGCACCGGCUAACUCCGUGCCAGCAGCCGCGGUAAUACGGAGGGUGCGAGCGUUGUUCGGAAUUACUGGGCGUAAAGGGCGCGCAGGCGGCUUGAUAAGUCAGUUGUGAAAGUCCACGGCUCAACCGUGGAAGUGCAUCUGAAACUGUCUGGCUUGAGUAUCGGAGGGGAAAGUGGAAUUCCCGGUGUAGAGGUGAAAUUCGUAGAUAUCGGGAGGAACACCAGUAGCGAAGGCGAC
rnacentral:rRNA from 1 species